rnacentral:rRNA from 1 species
ACGGCUCAGUAACACGUGGAUAACUUGUCCUGUGGACCGGGAUAACCCCUGGGAAACUGGGGCUAAUACCGGAUAGAGCAGCGAUCGCUGGAAUGCACGAUGCUCCAAAGCUCCGGCACCACAGGGUAGGUCUGCGGCCGAUUAGGUCGUUGUUGAUGUAACGGAUCAACAAGCCUCCGAUCGGUAUGGGUUGUGAGAGCAAUAGCCCAGAGAUGGGUUCUGAGAUAAGAACCCAGGUCCUACGGGACGCAUCAGGCGCGAAAACUUUACACUGUGCGCCAGCACGAUAAGGGAACUCUGAGUGCCUCCUCAGGAGGCUGUUCAGGUGUCUAAAACGCAUCUGAAGGAAGGGCUGGGUAAGACUGGUGCCAGCCGCCGCGGUAACACCAGCAGCCCAAGUGGUAGCCACUCUUACUGGGUCUAAAGCGCCCGUAGCCGGCCAGGUAAGUUCCUUGGGAAAUUUGAUCGCUUAACGAUUAAGCGUCCAGGGAAUACUGCCCGGCUUGGGACCGGGAGAGGUCAGAGGUACCCCAAGGGUAGGGGUGAAAUCCGUUAAUCCUUGGGGGACCGCCGGUAGCGAAGGCGUCUGACUAGACCGGAUCCGACGGUGAGGGGCGAAGGCUAGGGGAGCGAACCGGAUUAGAUACCCGGGUAGUCCUAGCUGUAAACGAUGCGGGCUAGGUGUUGGCAUUACUGCGAGUGAUGCCAGUGCCGAAGGGAAGCCGUUAAGCUCGCCAUCUGGGGAGUACGGUCGCAAGGCUGAAACUUAAAGGAAUUGGCGGGGGAGCAC